AAAGAUUUAAGUUAUAAGACUAAAGGCCUUCAAAGCCUAAAGCAGGAGCUAAAUCCCCCUAAUCUUUG
rnacentral:tRNA from 1 species